rnacentral:rRNA from 1 species
AACUAACGCUGGCGGCGUGCCUAACACAUGCAAGUCGAACGAGAAAGUUGGCUUCGGCCGAUGAGUAAAGUGGCGCACGGGUGAGUAACGCGUGGAUAAUCUGCCCUUUAGUUUGGAAUAACGUACCGAAAGGUGCGCUAAUACCGGAUAAUACUGAAUGACUACUGUUGUUUAGUCAAAGAAGGCUUCUGUUUACAUGCUUUUGCUGAAGGAUGAGUCCGCGUACCAUUAGCUAGUUGGUAGGGUAAUGGCCUACCAAGGCGACGAUGGUUAGCUGGUCUGAGAGGAUGAUCAGCCACACUGGAACUGAGACACGGUCCAGACUCCUACGGGAGGCAGCAGUGAGGAAUAUUGCGCAAUGGGGGCAACCCUGACGCAGCAACGCCGCGUGAGUGAGGAAGGUUUUCGGACCGUAAAGCUCUGUCGAGCGGGAAGAAAUGCAUGGUGGCUAAUAUCCAUCAUGCUUGACGGUACCGACUAAAGGAAG